GAUGAACGCUGGCGGCGUGCCUAAUACAUGCAAGUCGAGCGAACAGACGAGGAGCUUGCUCCUCGGACGUUAGCGGCGGACGUGUGAGUAACACGUGGAUAACCUACCUAUAAGACUGGGAUAACUUCGGGAAACCGGAGCUAAUACCGGAUGAGAUAUUGAAGCGCGUGGUUCGAUAGUGAAAGACGGUUGUGCUGUCACUUAUAGAUGGAUCCGCGCCGCAUUAUCUAGUUGUGGAGUUAACGGGUUAACAAGGCAACGAGGCGUAGCCGAACUGAGAGGGUGAUCGGCCACACUGGAACUGAGACACGGUCCAGAAUCCUAAGGGAGGCAGCAGUAGGGAAUCUUACGCAAUGGGCGAAAGCCUUACGGAGCAGCCACGAGUGAGAGAUGAAGGUCUUCGGAUCGUAAAACUCUGUUAUUAGGGAAGAACAAUUGUGUACGUAACUAUGCACGUCUUGACGGUACCUAAUAAGAAAGCAACGGCUAACUACGUG
rnacentral:rRNA from 1 species